rnacentral:rRNA from 1 species
GACGUAGGGGGCAAGCGUUGUUCGGAAUUAUUGGGCGUAAAGCGCUCGUAGGCGGGAUUGGAAGUCCGUGUUGAAAGACCUCGGCUCAACUGAGGGACCGGCUCGGAUACUCUAAUUCUUGAGGCAAUCAGAGGAUGAUGGAAUUCCCGGUGUAGCGGUGAAAUGCGUAGAUAUCGGAAGGAACACCGGUGGCGAAAGCGGCGCGCUGGAUCCCUUCUGACGCUGAGGCGCGAAAGCCAGGGGAGCGAACGGG